AGUGAACGCUGGCGGUAGGCCUAACACAUGCAAGUCGAACGGCAGCACAGUAAGAGCUUGCUCUUACGGGUGGCGAGUGGCGGACGGGUGAGGAAUACAUCGGACUCUACUUUUUCGUGGGGGUUAACGUAGGGAAACUUACGCUAAUACCGCAUACGACCUACGGGUGAAAGCAGGGGAUCUUCGGACCUUGCGCGAUUGAAUGAGCCGAUGUCGGAUUGGCUAGUUGGCGGGGUAAAGGCCCACCAGGGCGACGAGCCGUAGCUGGUCUGGGAGGAUGAGCAGCCCCACUGGAACUGAACCACGGCCCAGACUACUACGGGAGGCAGCAGUGGGGAAUAUUAGACAAUGGGCGGAAGCCUGAUCCAGCCAUACCGCGUGGGUGAAGAAGGCCCUGGGGUUGUAAAGCCCUUUUGUUGUGAAAGAAAAGCAGCAGGUUAAGACCCCGCUGUUCUGACGGUACCCUAAGAAUAAGCACCGGCUAACUUCGUG
rnacentral:rRNA from 1 species